AUCAUACUCCCUCCGUCCCGAAAUACUCGUCAGAGAAAUGAAUAAAAUUGGAUGUAUUAACUAAAAUACGUCUAGAUACAUCCAUUUCUUCGAUAAAUAUUUUCGGACGGAGGGAGUAUUUG
rfam:Triticum aestivum genome assembly, contig: Triticum_aestivum_CS42_TGACv1_scaffold_322088_4BL